UACGUAGGGGGCAAGCGUUGUCCGGAAUCAUUGGGCGUAAAGAGCGCGUAGGCGGCCCUGUAAGUCCGCUGUGAAAGUCAAGGGCUCAACCCUUGAAUGCCGGUGGAUACUGCAGGGCUAGAGUCCGGAAGAGGCGAGUGGAAUUCCUGGUGUAGCGGUGAAAUGCGCAGAUAUCAGGAGGAACACCGAUGGCGAAGGCAGCUCGCUGGGACGGUACUGACGCUAAGGCGCGAAAGCGUGGGAGCGAACAGG
rnacentral:rRNA from 1 species